rnacentral:tRNA from 1 species
GUUUUAAUAAUUUAAUAAAAAUAUUGGUCUUGUAAACCAAAAUUAAGAAACAUCUUUUAAAACU